AGCAGCCGCGGUAAUUCCAGCUCCAAUAGCGUAUAUUAAAGUUGUUGCAGUUAAAAAGCUCGUAGUUGAAUUUCGGGAUCAAUAUAUUGGUCAUGCUUAGGUAUGUACUGGUAUUAUUGAUUUCUCCCUUCUGAAGAACCAUAAUGUCAUUAAUUUGAUGUCAUGGGGAAUCAGGACUGUUACUUUGAAAAAUUAGAGUGUUUAAAGCAGGCUUUCGCUUGAAUACAUUAGCAUGGAAUAAUGAAAUAGGACGUUUGAUUCUAUUUUGUUGGUUUCUAGGAUCGGCGUAAUGAUUAAUAGGGAUAGUUGGGGGCAUUAGUAUUCAAUUGUCAGAGGUGAAAUUCUUGGAUUUAUUGAAGACUAACUACUGCGAAAGCAUUUGCCAAGGAUGUUUUCAUUAAUCAAGAACGAAAGUUAGGGGAUCGAAGACGAUCAGAUACCGUCGUAGUCUUAACCAUAAACUAUGCCGACUAGGGAUCGGAUGAUGUAAUUUUUAAUGACUCAUUC
rnacentral:rRNA from 1 species